rnacentral:rRNA from 1 species
AGUGAACGCUGGCGGUAGGCCUAACACAUGCAAGUCGAACGGCAGCACAGGAGAGCUUGCUCUCUGGGUGGCGAGUGGCGGACGGGUGAGGAAUACAUCGGAAUCUACUCUGUCGUGGGGGAUAACGUAGGGAAACUUACGCUAAUACCGCAUACGACCUACGGGUGAAAGCAGGGGACCUUCGGGCCUUGCGCGAUUGAAUGAGCCGAUGUCGGAUUAGCUAGUUGGCGGUGUAAAGGCCCACCAAGGCGACGAUCCGUAGCUGGUCUGGGAGGAGGAGCAACCACGCUGGAACUGAGACGCGGUCCAGACUCCUACGGGAGUCAGGCGUGGGGAAUAUUGGACACUAGGCGGAAGCCUGAUCCAGCCAUACCGCGUGGGUGAAGAAGGACUUCGGGUUGUAAAGCCCUUUUGUUGGGAAAGAGAUCCAGCUGGCUAAUACCCGGUUGGGAUGACGGUACCCAAGGAAUAAGCACCGGCUAACUUCGUGCCAGCCGCCGCCGUAA